rnacentral:rRNA from 1 species
GUGGGGAAUCUUGCGCAAUGGGCGAAAGCCUGACGCAGCCAUGCCGCGUGAAUGAUGAAGGUCUUAGGAUUGUAAAAUUCUUUCACCGGGGACGAUAAUGACGGUACCCGGAGAAGAAGCUCCGGCUAACUUCGUGCCAGCAGCCGCGGUAAUACGAAGGGGGCUAGCGUUGCUCGGAAUUACUGGGCGUAAAGGGCGCGUAGGCGGACAGCUUAGUCAGAGGUGAAAGCCCAGGGCUCAACCUUGGAAUUGCCUUUGAUACUGGCUGUCUUGAGUACGGGAGAGGUGAGUGGAACUCCGAGUGUAGAGGUGAAAUUCGUAGAUAUUCGGAAGAACACCAGUGGCGAAGGUGACUCACUGGCCCGUUACUGACGCUGAGGCGCGAAAGCGUGGGGAGCAAACAGGAUUAGAUACCCUAGUAGUCC